CCCUAGCUCGUAAUAAAUUGUCUACACUGAAACAUCUCAGUUGCCCUGAUGCUUAUAUCUUUGCAUGCUCAUGUUCAAUUGUGUAUGUAGCAAUUGGAGACUUGUGACUGGGCAUGGUAAGUUACAGUGGCAGUGAAGAAGUCAGGAGCCUCCAGAGUCCUUCAGUGCAGUGCAGUGCAGGCAGCCUUCUCUCUAACCUCCUUCACAAGGCCUGGCCUGAAGAGCGGCCUGGGAUCGAGGCUACCUUCUCUCUAGCCUCUAACUCUAGCUAGUCUCGAGGCCAGAUUCUGAUAAGGAGAGUUUGGCCUCUAGACUAUAAUUAUAAGCUGGAACUAUAGGUGUGGCAUGAGGGGGCGUUCAGGAAUAAUAGGGCAAGGCCUCAAACAUACUUAGCACAUGGUGCUUGCAGCUGCACCAGACUGCAGCUGCUCAUGCAGCUUUAUACCAUCACUGACUGCAUGCCUGUACCCCUGGCCCUGGCAGUGGGCUACCAUGUUCCAUGUACACCAGCUAGGAUCUAGGAGUCAAGAGUCACCUGCAUCUGCAGCUUGAAAGAAAAGAUAAUUGCAAGUUAGUCAGUGCUCAUUGCUAAACUCAACUUAUUGCCCAAUACUCUCUUUCAGAUUUUCUUAAAGAGUAGAUAGUACCACCAUCUCAAAGAAAAAAGUUAAGUUCCAUUGCAUGCUGUUGGCGCAUGGCAUGUACAUGAUCCCAAAACUCUCUGAAUUCACAGUUUACAAAUCACUGCUAUACCGUAUCGGCGUAUAACUCCACCAUGUACCAGCUUCAAAGAAAAAGGAUUUAAGUUAUGUUGCUCAUUGCUAAAUAAAUGUGUUUACGUGUUUCUUCCAGCUGCAGAUUUUACCGUACCUCGGCCCCACAAUGUGUACCAGCUAGGAGUCUACUUAACCACCUUCAUCGACUUCAAAGAAACGACUUGCAAGGGCUUAUUGUGACGAAAAUGAUCUGAGGGAUGUAGCGUUCAUGAAACCAAACGAAACGCCUGCAGUUCACUGUACUGGAAUUUCAAGAAACGCUAAGUGAUGAACACUAAAAACAAUUUACUGACAGAAGAAAUGUAUUGUGCUGCAUGUCAUGUGAUCCAGUGAUCUUAUUCUAUCAUAAACUCA